AGCAGCCGCGGUAAUUCCAGCUCCAAUAGCGUAUAUUAAAGUUGUUGCAGUUAAAAGCUCGUAGUUGAAUUUCGGGAUCAGUACGCUGGUCGUGCCUUCGGUAUGUACUGGUGUUACUGGUUCCUACCUUCUGACGAACCGUCAUGUCAUUAAUUUGGUGUGGCGGGGAAUCAGGACUGUUACUUUGAAAAAUUAGAGUGUUUAAAGCAGGCUCGCGCUUGAAUACAUUAGCAUGGAAUAAUGAAAUAGGACGUUCGAUCCUAUUUUGUUGGUUUCUAGGAUUGACGUAAUGAUUAAUAGGGAUAGUUGGGGGCAUUAGUAUUCAAUUGUCAGAGGUGAAAUUCUUGGAUUUAUUGAAGACUAACUACUGCGAAAGCAUUUGCCAAGGAUGUUUUCAUUAAUCAAGAACGAAAGUUAGGGAUCGAAGACGAUCAGAUACCGUCGUAGUCU
rnacentral:rRNA from 1 species